AUAGAGUACAAUGAGUUGUCAUUAAUGGUAAAUUUUCAGGCUGGACAAAAGUGGUAAGUGGUGUCCCUCAGGGUUCUGUUUUGGGACCACUUCUAUUUAACAUAUCUAUAAAUGAUCUUGAAAUAGGCAUUGAAAGCCAUGUAUCAGUGUUUGCAGAUGACACAAAACUUUGUAAAGUAAUAAAAUGUGAGCAGGAUAUUGCUUUGCUGCUGAGGGAUUUGGAUAGAUUGGGGGACUGGGCACUAAAAUGGCAGAUGAAAUUUAACGUAG